UGUGGCCCAGAUGGGCUUUGUGGCAACUCCUCUACUCCUAUAGCCCGAAGCAGCCAUAUGCAGUUCCUAAAUGAAUGAGCAUGGCUGUGCUCCAAAAUUUACAAAAAUGCAAUGAGGUUUGGCCUGAGGUCUUGGCUUGCCAACCUCUGCCUCAGACAGCCUUAAAUAACGUGUAUUGUGACCCUCGCUGGUUCACUCUCAUAUACAGUCCUUUGGACGUGCUUACACAUCCUAUGCCCCAAUUAACCAGGGUGGUGAAAUAACUUCCCAAAUUUGGGCUGCCUAGGCCAGAAAUCACUUAGAUUUCUCAGGUGUCUUAGACAGCAAUCUACCCAGCCCUUCAAAUGGUAGGGACAUAUAUUAAGCUGUUCAACUCUCCUUAGAAUCCUUCUCUUUUGAGUUGGACAGAAGGUUUCAUGUAAGUUUUGGGGGCAGAUGAGGGGGUGAGGAGGAUGAGAC